rnacentral:rRNA from 1 species
CGGAGGAUCCAAGCGUUAUCCGGAAUCAUUGGGUUUAAAGGGUCCGUAGGCGGUUUUAUAAGUCAGUGGUGAAAUCUGGUCGCUCAACGAUCAAACGGCCAUUGAUACUGUAGAACUUGAAUUACUUGGAAGUAACUAGAAUAUGUAGUGUAGCGGUGAAAUGCUUAGAGAUUACAUGGAAUACCAAUUGCGAAGGCAGGUUACUACAAGUGGAUUGACGCUGAUGGACGAAAGCGUGGGGAGCGAACAGGAUUAGAUACCCUGGUAGUCCAACGCCGUAAACGAUGGAUACUAGCUGUUCGGAAGCAAUCUGAGUGGCUAAGCGAAAGUGAUAAGUAUCCCACCUGGGGAUACGAACGCAAGUUUG